rnacentral:tRNA from 1 species
GAUUGUGUCUCAGUGGUCGAGUGCUUGCCUUGCAAGUAUGAGGCACUGAGUUCGAUCCCUAGCACAACA